rnacentral:rRNA from 1 species
GAUGAACGCUGGCGGCGUGCCUAAUACAUGCAAGUCGAGCGAACGGACGAGAAGCUUGCUUCCCUGAUGUUAGCGGCGGACGGGUGAGUAACACGUGGAUAACCUACCUAUAAGACUGGGAUAACUUCGGGAAACCGGAGCUAAUACCGGAUGAUAUUUUGAACCGCAUGGUUCAAAAGUGAAAGACGGUCUUGCUGUCACUUAUAGAUGGAUCCGCGCUGCAUUAGCUAGUUGGUAAGGUAACGGCUUACCAAGGCGACGAUGCAUAGCCGACCUGAGAGGGUGAUCGGCCACACUGGAACUGAGACACGGUCCAGACUCCUACGGGAGGCAGCAGUAGGGAAUCUUCCGCAAUGGGCGAAAGCCUGACGGAGCAACGCCGCGUGAGUGAUGAAGGUCUUCGGAUCGUAAAGCUCUGUUAUUAGGGAAGAACAUAUGUGUAAGUAACUGUGCACAUCUUGACGGUACCUAAUCAGAAAGCCACGGCUAACUACGUG